AUCGCUUCUCGGCCUUUUGGCUAAGAUCAAGUGUAGGAAUAUUAAGGCUUAUUGCCUAAUAAAAACUACUCCCAUUUAUAAAAUGAAAAAUUAUAUUUCUAGUAUUUUUUAUUUACCCCCU
rnacentral:snRNA from 1 species